GCUGGGCGUGGUGUCGGGCGCCUGUAAUCCCAGCUACUCAGGAGGCUGAGGCAGGAGAAUCGCUUGAACCCAGGAGGCAGAGGUUGUAGUGAGCAGAGAUCGUACCACUACACUUCAGCCUGGGCGACAGAGCGAGACUCCGUCUCAA
rnacentral:sRNA from 1 species